rnacentral:sRNA from 18 species
UGACCACUCCUUUCUGGAGUUAUAGCCAUACGGACAGCUGGGUCAAAUGCCGA